rnacentral:rRNA from 1 species
UACGUAGGGGGCAAGCGUUGUCCGGAAUCAUUGGGCGUAAAGCGCGUGUAGGCGGUCCGAUAAGUCCGCUGUGAAAGUCCAGGGCUCAACCCUGGAAUGCCGGUGGAUACUGUCGGGCUCGAGUCCGGAAGAGGCGAGUGGAAUUCCUGGUGUAGCGGUGAAAUGCGCAGAUAUCAGGAAGAACACCAAUGGCGAAAGCAGCUCUCUGGGACGGUACUGACGCUGAGACGCGAAAGCGUGGGGAGCGAACAGG